AUGGACGGCUCUGCCAGGCCAGGACUCCCUCGCUGCCGCAGGACCUCCCCGACCCGACUUCUUCCGCAAGCUCCCGAGGUGCCAACCUCCCAUCCGCGAGAUCCGGCGAUGCCGGCCACCAGGACUCGCUGCUGCUCUAGGGCAACCACCUCCGGUCUUCAACCCCGACGCCCGCCAUGGCCCUCCUCGCGCUGCUGCUCCUUGGAGUCCCCCUGA
rnacentral:rRNA from 1 species